rnacentral:rRNA from 2 species
GGCUCAGAACGAACGCUGGCGGCAGGCCUAACACAUGCAAGUCGAGCGAACGUAGCAAUACGUUAGCGGCAGACGGGAGAGUAACACGUGGGAACGCGCCCUUCGGUUCGGAAUAACUCAGGGAAACUUGGGCUAAUACCGAAUACGCCCUUACGGGGAAAGAUUUAUUGCCGAAGGAACGGCCCGCGUCCGAUUAGCUAGUUGGUGAGGUAAUGGCUCACCAAGGCGACGAUCGGUAGCUGGUCUGAGAGGAUGACCAGCCUCACUGGGACUGAGACACGGCCCAGGAUCCUACGGGAGGCAGC